CGCGCUCCUAACCUUCCGGCCGCCCCCAACCAUCUCCAACCCCGGCGCAUCCCAGCCCCGGCGCAUCCCAGCCCCAGCGCCCCCCUUCCCGGCGACCCCAACCCCGGCGCGCCUCAGCCCCGGCGCCCCCAGCCCCGGCGACCCUAGCCCCGGCGCGCCUCAGCCCCGGUGACUCCCAUCUCCGGCCUCCUCCCUCCGUCGCCGCCGCGCCUCUCGCCACCUCCCUCCGCCACCAACCCAGAUCCCUCCGAGCACCGUGCGCCAUCUCCUGCGAUUCCCGCCACCGCCUGUUUCUAGCGCGGCUCUCCGCCUCCCAGCGACGACGAGGAAGAUGACGGGGGAGCUGCCCGUCUUAACGCAUGGCGCCCCUGGUCCUUGGAUCCCCGCUCCCCUCCGGCGACCCUACUCGCUCGCCCGGCGCUCGCUCCGGUGACCAGCCGCGCGUCACACGAUAGAUCCCCAAGCUCCUUCACAUUCAGCGCCGCCGCCACGCAACCUCAUCUCCGUUUUCUCUUCAUUACGACCUGUAGCCUGUAGGAGUUUCUUCAGCUGCGGUUCAACAAGAAAACCAGCGGCAGUCCAUGCACCCGUUCUAUCUCUUUCCUCUCUAAUGUUCUUUAUCUUACUAAUUUGUUUUCUAUUGGAACUGCAGCCCGAGGGAGGUUGGACGGACAGCAUAUUGGCGAUGUUAACAUCAGUUUGUUUAUAUUGAACUGAUGAUCGUGUAUUAGUACUACUGAAGUCAAGCAAUGAGUUCAAUGGAUUCCAAAAAGGAAAAAAUUAUGGAUGGGUGAUGAAUCAACUUCCUGUACUGUUGUGCCAUUAGCAUUGGACGACCCCGACCACUGGCACCACUGCUUCCCUACCUCCUGCUUGCAUCGCCAUCUCCCGGUGGGGCUCUGCCGCCGGAGCACCCUGGCCGUUCACAGCCACCACUCUAGGCCGUUCAACGCCACCACCCCAGGCCGUUCAUUGCCAGCAGCACCCUGGAUCCCACCCCUCACCCUAGGAGUUUCAGUUAUCGACAAGUCCAUGUAGUACUACAUGCGAAGUACAAAAAUUACUGCUAAUGAGAGUUCAUUUAAAUCCUGGAAGUUCAACGCUGCAACUACAGGCCGUUCAAUCUCUCCGUCGUGGACACGCCCCUCCACCUCCUUCUGGUUGCUAGUCAUCCCGGUGUGGCCAGGCCGCUGGGUUCGCCGCUGCUGCGAUCAGCAGUCCAACCCGGCCGCCCCAGGCCGUUCACCGUCGCAGCUCCCUGGCCGACUGUGUCAAGCCACCUUCCGCCUGCACCUUGGGCUCCCGUAUGCGUCCCCUACCCCAGCAGGUGCACACGUCCCGGCCCACCGUUCCCUGUGUUAUUCUUUUGACCUUGAACUAUAUAGGAUACAACUUUUAUUUGAUUUUCAGUUCACCUUUUCCGUUCUUUUCAGUUCAUAAACUUUAAUGUAUUGAUGAAAUCCUGAAAUAUCAUAUGUGCACUCUACGUAAUUGUUUUUAUGCCUACGAACAAUUCUUCACUUGUGCUGUUAUGCAUCAGUUUUGGUCACCAAAAAAAUGGAGGUUUAGAUAUGACAAAAUGGAUUAGAGCGCCAUGUCCUCACCCAGAAGAAAAUAUGGUGGCCUUCAGCAAGUAAUCUUUCUCUAACGGGCAUCCUAUGCCUGCGCCACCGAGAGCCUGAUCCUACUUGCUGUGUGCUCACGGCAACCACAAGCAUCGUAAGAAAAAGGCUCGUUGAGCUGCACUUGUUUGUACUGUCGCUCUUCCUCUGCUCCUCAAGCGCCACUGCUGUCUCGUGCUGACCUCGACGCACCGACCGUCCUCCAGGCUGCUGCUGGUUCGUGCUACAUAAACAAACAGAGUUAAAGAACAUAGAUGAGAGGAAUUCAGUUCAGGAAGAUUAAAGGGUUAACCUCCUGGGAUACACGAAGUUUCAGUUCGUCGAGAGGCUUCCUGGAGCUUCAAAACAUUUCACUUCACCUUUUUAGGCUUUUUCAGUACAUCUUACAAAGUGUGUUUCCUUUCAUCAUUUUUAUCUACUUAAAAGAAGUGUAGAAACUUGAGGAAAUACCCCCAAAAUCAUGUGUGCGCUCAGCACUCUUCUACGUGCUUGUUCUAAUGCUUAUGAGAAUUAUUCUUCAAGGUCAUAAUUUGGAACUAGAUAACUUUUCAUAGAUGAUUGUACUGAAGCUAGGUGUUUAACAGAAUUAUUUCUCAUAAGUUCGCAAAUCACCUAUUGGUUUGGGUUACAUCUCAUCCACAUCUUCACGAAAAAAGUUGGAACUUGCAUCUAUAUUUAUGUUCCGGUUACCUUCGGUUAAUUGUACUGAAUUUGGCUAAUUGUAGCUUAUUAGUACUAAACUUUUGUGCAUGUGCUACCUUUUGUAAAGUUCAUCUUGUCUAGUAUAUAUUACUGCUGUCGUUGAUUGCAGAUUUUGUUUUUGGGAAUUCCACCGUUGAUCCCAAGCUCCACGGGCAUUUCAUGCAUUCGCUGGUCUGUGUGUGCAAUUAUUCUAUUAUGGAGAUGUCAGUUCAUUACAGCGCUACUCCGGCUUUUUUCUCCUACAACAAGACUUGCGUAUGGCUACAGGUUCAUAUCAAGGAAGUUUAGAAAAAUUGCAGCGCCUUUCAGUUCAUUGUAUGAAAAAAGCAAAGUUCAUCUUGUCUAGUAGAGGUUGCUGCUGGUGUCCGUUCAUUGUCGAUUUCGUUUUGGGAAAUUUCCAAAACUUACUGCUGAGAACGGAUGCAGUUUGAUCUUGCGCAAGUUGGAAAUUCCCUGAUGCUGAGUGUGUCAGUACAACCCUACGUCACACAGGGAACAGUGUGUGUACAUUUUUGGAUUUAAUUUUGGAAGGUUCGCACAUCCAUAUUAGAGAGAUUCAUCGGACAUAAUUUUGUAAGUUCAGAAAAAGCAAUUGCUCAGUACAUCACAGCAGCUCUUCAAUGCAAAAAGGAUGGCUCUUCUCAAGUCAGCAGCUAACUGAACUGGCAACUUCAGGGUAGCUCAGUCAAAUAUGGCAGCUGUGCAGUAAACAACUUCAGUUGAGAAAUCAGCAAGCGCCAUGCUCAGUCCAACCCCGUGGCUUCAGGGUGGCCGAGUUCGUCGCGACCAUCAGUUUGGAGACCUGCGUCACUGCCCGUGUCGCUACCAUGGCCACCUGCAUCACUGCGUGCUCCGUCAACAGCCUCCUGCACAAGGAAAAGCAACCGGAGUAGAGGCUUUUGAGAUGCUCUGUUCUAGCGAGGUGGCUGAUUAUGUUUGUCAGUUUGUAAUAUACUUUGGCCGCAGUUUACUUAUGUAUCUUUUUCUGGCCGGAGCACGACCAGAGCUUAUGUCAGUAUGAACUUUGAUUGUGAUGGUACUACAAACUCUAUAAUUACUUACCUUUUAUACAAUCCACUUGGAUUGUGCCCCUAUUACCAACUGUGGUACAAAAAUGCACUGUGCUCACCAUUUUAUUUUAGUUCAUCAGUUUGUAAUACUUUAAAGAGAGGAGGUAAAAGUGAACCAUUUGGUUUUGUAUUAUAAAAAGUGUUAAUGUGAGAAACUUCAAAAACAUCUUGUUUAA